AUUGAACGCUGGCGGCAUGCCUUACACAUGCAAGUCGAACGGUAACAGGUCUUCGGAUGCUGACGAGUGGCGAACGGGUGAGUAAUACAUCGGAACGUGCCCGAUCGUGGGGGAUAACGGAGCGAAAGCUUUGCUAAUACCGCAUACGAUCUACGGAUGAAAGCAGGGGACCGCAAGGCCUUGCGCGGACGGAGCGGCCGAUGGCAGAUUAGGUAGUUGGUGGGAUAAAAGCUUACCAAGCCGACGAUCUGUAGCUGGUCUGAGAGGACGACCAGCCACACUGGGACUGAGACACGGCCCAGACUCCUACGGGAGGCAGCAGUGGGGAAUUUUGGACAAUGGGCGAAAGCCUGAUCCAGCAAUGCCGCGUGCAGGAUGAAGGCCUUCGGGUUGUAAACUGCUUUUGUACGGAACGAAAAGUCUCGGGAUAAUACCCUGGGACCAUGACGGUACCGUAAGAAUAAGCACCGGCUAA
rnacentral:rRNA from 1 species